UACAGAGGGUGCAAGCGUUGUUCGGAAUUAUUGGGCGUAAAGCGCGUGUAGGCGGCUUUGCAAGUCGGGUGUGAAAAGCCCUCAGCUCAACUGAGGAAGUGCGCCCCGAAACUGCAGAGCUUGAGUGCCGGAGAGGGUGGCGGAAUUCCCCCAAGUAGAGGUGAAAUUCGUAGAUAUGGGGGAGGAACACCGGUGGCGAAGGCGGCC
rnacentral:rRNA from 1 species